ensembl:snoRNA
CACCAGAGUGUUGAGUUCAGUUCAGGGCAGCUUCCCUGUUCUGUUAAUUAAACUUUGGGACAUUGAAAGGGGCUGGGAGAUAGAACUGGAUACAAAAUAUCAUGCUAUUCAUUUGUCUCCCAGACUACACAG